rnacentral:rRNA from 1 species
AUUGAACGCUGGCGGCAUGCCUUACACAUGCAAGUCGAACGGCAGCACGGGUGCUUGCACCUGGUGGCGAGUGGCGAACGGGUGAGUAAUACAUCGGAACAUGUCCUGUAGUGGGGGAUAGCCCGGCGAAAGCCGGAUUAAUACCGCAUACGAUCUACGGAUGAAAGCGGGGGACCUUCGGGCCUCGCGCUAUAGGGUUGGCCGAUGGCUGAUUAGCUAGUUGGUGGGGUAAAGGCCUACCAAGGCGACGAUCAGUAGCUGGUCUGAGAGGACGACCAGCCACACUGGGACUGAGACACGGCCCAGACUCCUACGGGAGGCAGCAGUGGGGAAUUUUGGACAAUGGGCGAAAGCCUGAUCCAGCAAUGCCGCGUGUGUGAAGAAGGCCUUCGGGUUGUAAAGCACUUUUGUCCGGAAAGAAAUCCUUGGCUCUAAUACAGUCGGGGGAUGACGGUACCGGAAGAAUAAGCACCGGCUAACUACGCGCCAGCAGCCGCGGUAAUACGUAGGGUGCGAGCGUUAAUCGGAAUUACUGGGCGUAAAGCGUGCGCAGGCGGUUUGCUAAGACCGAUGUGAAAUCCCCGGGCUCAACCUGGGAACUGCAUUGGUGACUGGCAGGCUAGAGUAUGGCAGAGGGGGGUAGAAUUCCACGUGUAGCAGUGAAAUGCGUAGAGAUGUGGAGGAAUACCGAUGGCGAAGGCAGCCCCCUGGGCCAAUACUGACGCUCAUGCACGAAAGCGUGGGGAGCAAACAGG